GAUGAACGCUGGCGGCGUGCCUAAUACAUGCAAGUCGAGCGAAUGGAUUAAGAGCUUGCUCUUAUGAAGUUAGCGGCGGACGGGUGAGUAACACGUGGGUAACCUGCCCAUAAGACUGGGAUAACUCCGGGAAACCGGGGCUAAUACCGGAUAACAUUUUGAACCGCAUGGUUCGAAAUUGAAAGGCGGCUUCGGCUGUCACUUAUGGAUGGACCCGCGUCGCAUUAGCUAGUUGGUGAGGUAACGGCUCACCAAGGCAACGAUGCGUAGCCGAUCUGAUGGGGUGGACUGCCACACUGGGACUGAUACACGGCCCAGACUCCUACGGGAGUGAGCAGUAGGGAAUCUUCCUCAAUUGACGAAAGUCUGACGGAGCAACGCCGCGUGAGUGAUGAAGGCUUGCGGGUCGUAAAACUCUGUUGUUAGGGAAGAACAAGUGCUAGUUGAAUAAGCUGGCACCUUGACGGUACCUAACCAGAAAGCCACGGCUAACUACGUGCCAGCCGCCGCGGUAA
rnacentral:rRNA from 1 species